rnacentral:rRNA from 1 species
UACGAAGGGGGCUAGCGUUGCUCGGAAUCACUGGGCGUAAAGGGCGCGUAGGCGGCCAUUCAAGUCGGAGGUGAAAGCCCAGGGCUCAACCCUGGAAUUGCCUUCGAUACUGUUUGGCUAGAGACCGGAAGAGGUAAGUGGAACUGCGAGUGUAGAGGUGAAAUUCGUAGAUAUUCGCAAGAACACCAGUGGCGAAGGCGGCUCACUGGCCCGUUACUGACGCUGAGGCACGAAAGCGUGGGGAGCAAACAGG